rnacentral:rRNA from 1 species
AACGAACGUUGGCGGCGUGGAUGAGGCAUGCAAGUCGAGCGCGUGGCUUCGGCCACGAGCGGCGAACGGGUGAGUAACACGUAGGUCAUCUGCCCUUUGGUGGGGAAUAACCCGAGGAAACUCGGGCUAAUACCGCAUACUGCCUUCGGGUCAAAGGCUUCGGCCGCCAGAGGAUGAGCCUGCGUCGCAUUACCUAGUUGGUGGGGUAAUGGCCCACCAAGGGGACGAUGCGUAGCUGGUCUGAGAGGAUGAUCAGCCACACUGGGACUGAGACACGGCCCAGACUCCUACGGGAGGCAGCAGUGGGGGAAUAUUGCGCAAUGGGGGGAACCCUGACGCAGCCACGCCGCGUGGGUGAUGAAGGCCUCGGUUGUAAGACCUCGUCGGGGGGACGGAAGUACUGACGGUACCCGUCCAACGAAAGACACCGGCGUAACUACCGUCGCCACGCAGCCGCGGUAACGUAGUG